rnacentral:rRNA from 1 species
UACGUAGGGUCCAAGCGUUAUCCGGAAUCACUGGGCGUAAAGCGUGCGUAGGUGGAUGUUUAAGUGAGAGGUUAAAUCGUGUGGCUCAACCAUAUCGAUGCCUCUCAUACUGGGCAUCUAGAGGACAGCAGAGGCAAGUGGAACUAGUAGUGUAGCAGUGAAAUGCGUAGAUAUUACUAAGAACACCAAUGGCGAAGGCAGCUCGCUGGGCUACUCCUGACACUGAGGUACGAAAGCGUGGGGAGCGAACAGG